rnacentral:rRNA from 1 species
GAUGAACGCUGGCGGCGUGCUUAACACAUGCAAGUCGAACGAAGCACCUGAGAACGAUUCUUCGGAUGAAGUCUUUUGUGACUGAGUGGCGGACGGGUGAGUAACGCGUGGGUAACCUGCCUCACACAGGGGGAUAACAGUUGGAAACGACCGCUAAUACCGCAUAAGCCGCCGGUGCCGCAUGGCACUGACGGAAAAGAUUUUAUCGGUGUGAGAUGGACCCGCGUCUGAUUAGCCAGUUGGCAGGGUAACGGCCUACCAAAGCGACGAUCAGUAGCCGGCCUGAGAGGGUGAACGGCCACAUUGGGACUGAGACACGGCCCAG